UCAAUAUUUUCAAUAUUUAACAUUUUUGCAAAAACUUUUAUUUUCGUUUUGUUAAUGAAUUAUUAACAAAAACAUACUAACUAAUCACAGAGUGUAUAGUUGAGUGUAGAUCCAGGAUUGUGGAAUGCAAAAAUAAAAUAUAAAAUAAUUCUUGGCUCAAAUUAUAAUGAUCGAAGUUAUAAUGAAUAUCAAUAUUUUAAUAUCGUUGUAAUUUCAAUUGUCCAAUAUAAAUCCGCACAUUGGAUUUGGAAUAUUUUAAGUCUAUUAUAAUCUAUAAAAAAGUAACUUUUUAAUCAAUGUAUUUAUUAUACAUUUUGCUGUGUAUAGGAAUAGUAAAUAAGUGAUAAUUGCAUACAGAUGUAUAUAUAUAGGAAAAAUUUUGUAUAAUAAUAACAAUCUUUUUUUUACAAAUAUUUUGAAAAUUAAAAUUGAACAAUAGUAACAUGCAAAGGAAAAAUCUUUUAUUAAAAAUUUUGUGCUCUGCAAUAUAUUCAAAAAUCAAAAUUGAUGAAGAUUUAUCUAUUUUAAGUAAUAUCGAAAGAAAAUUUAUAUAAACAAACCUUCAAAUGCUUUAAAAAAAAUUACAUAAGAAAUAUGGAAACUAAAGACGAGUUUGUUAUCGAUAUAUCAUUACAUAAUAAUAUUAACUGUAUUUAUGUUUAGCAUAUUGUGCGAAACCUAUAGAAAAUGACUAAAUGAACGUCGUAAAAGAUGAUCAAUUAGUUAAAUAACGCAUAUUCUUUGAUUUGAAAGAUUUUACAUUAUUAAAUUUUAACAGGCAACGAUAAAAAUGUGUCGUACAAUAGUUAAUUCAAAACGAAAAAUUCAUGAUUUAAUUGAUACAAAAAAUUUAUGAUUUAGUAAACUGAAGCAAAAUAAGGUUCGAAAAAUAAUAAACUAAAUUUUUCAAAGAUAUUCGUGAAAAAAUAUACAUCAAUAUAUGAUUAACUAUUUAUAUAAAAACAUCAGUUAAUAUCCAAAAUGUAUAAUGUGUGAGCUAUCAUUACACAGUAUCUGUCUAUGAAGACUUCAAAUUCGCCAAAUACAAAAACAAAAUAUAUAAAAAUGGAUGAAGUAAUAACCGUAAUAUAACUAGACGAAAAAUGAUUUUGCAUGAAAAAA